rnacentral:rRNA from 1 species
GAAAGCUCCGGCGGUGAAGGAUGAGCCCGCGGCCUAUCAGCUUGCCGGUGAGGUAACGGCUCACCAAGGCGACGACGCGUAGCCGGCCUGCGAGGGCGACCGGCCACACUGGGACUGAGACACGGCCCAGACUCCUACGGGAGGCAGCAGUGGGGAAUAUUGCACAAUGGGCGAAAGCCUGAUGCAGCGACGCCGCGUGAGGGAUGACGGCCUUCGGGUUGUAAACCUCUUUCAGCAGGGAAGAAGCGAAAGUGACGGUACCUGCAGAAGAAGCGCCGGCUAACUACGUGCCAGCAGCCGCGGUAAUACGUAGGGCGCAAGCGUUGUCCGGAAUUAUUGGGCGUAAAGAGCUCGUAGGCGGCUUGUCACGUCGGGUGUGAAAGCCCGGGGCUUAACCCCGGGUCUGCAUUCGAUACGGGCUAGCUAGAGUGUGGUAGGGGAGAUCGGAAUUCCUGGUGUAGCGGUGAAAUGCGCAGAUAUCAGGAGGAACACCGGUGGCGAAGGCGGAUCUCUGGGCCAUUACUGACGCUGAGGAGCGAAAGCGUGGGGAGCGAACAGGAUUAGAUACCCUGGUAGUCCACGCCGUAAACGGUGGGAACUAGGUGUUGGCGACAGUUCCACGUCGUCGGUGCCGCAGCUAACGCAUUAAGUUCCCCG